rnacentral:lncRNA from 1 species
GGAAAUUAAGGAUCGUAGCAAUUUUGUAACCAAAGAAAAAUUGAAAACAAAUAAAGAUAAAUGAGACAAAAAUUUUAUGUGAAAAACACCAUAAAGAUUAGGGUAAAAAUCAUUGCCAAAGGUAAAAGGAUUUUACUAUCAAAAUGAGGAUUACAGCACUUUUCUCUAAAUAUAAGAAGAGAAUAAUUACAUUCUUUCUUAUAUUAAGAGAAAACAAUUUUGUCAUUCAAAAUUGAGAAAAAAUAACAAUUAUAAAUGAGAAACUAAUUUUUCUCUCUUCGCCAAGCUCACAACUCUUUUUUCAAAUA